rnacentral:sRNA from 1 species
CGAAUUCCGAACUUGUUACUGUGGAAAUUCUGAUAUUUUGUUAAAAUGUGGUACGAAAUUCUGCCCAGUUUUUUCAUUAUUACGGCUGGCAUAGGCCUGCCAGGCUGGGGCUUAUAUCACAUUCACAAUUUAAUACUAGGCAAUCACUUCAGACGCAACCUCAAUGACAGGUGGGACCGCCAAAUGUACCAGCGAGACCUUCGGUUAACUGGCAAUCCCUACAAAGUAGCGGGACUUGAAACCAUUGAUUGAAGAGAUGGUGCAUUAGAAUAGACCUUUAUUAAAUUAUGUGCUAGAUUUUGUUGGAAUAAACUGGUUAUUAAUGUA